rnacentral:ncRNA from 2 species
AUAAUCUACUAGGGGCGCCGGGUUGGCUGAGAAGUACCCUUUGAACCUGAUCUAGUUCGUACUAGCGAAGGGAAGUAGGUGAUGAAAUUA